AAACAUGGCUUUUCGGCUUCAUCUUAUGAAAAGUCGGACCUGCCCAAUGAGACAUUAAAUGGCCGCAGUAUCCUGACUGUGCAAAGGUAGCAUAAUAAUUUGCCUUAUAAUUAAAGGCUGGAAUGAAUGGUUUGACGAAAUUUACACUGUCUCUUUUUAAAUUUAUAUAAUUUAGACUUUAGGUUAAAAUACCUAAAUUUCACUAAAAGACAAGAAGACCCUAUUGAGCUUUAAUACCUAAUAGAGAUUAUUAUAGUUUUAAAAAUAAAUAGUUCUUUAUUUUUAUUUUGAUUGGGGCGAUCGAGGAUUAAGAAAAUCAUCCUCACACUAUUUUAACUUUUAAGUGCUGAUCCAAAUAUUUUUGAUUAUAAGAUUAAGUUACCAUAGGGAUAACAGCAUAAUUUCUUUUAAGAGUCCACAUUGAAAAAGAAGAUUAUGACCUCGAUGUUGGAUUAGAAUACCCAAAAGAUGCAGCCGUCUUUAAGGUUAGUCUGUUCGACUAUUAAAAUUCUACAUGAUCUGA
rnacentral:rRNA from 1 species